CGGUUAAUGAUUACAUAAUGUUUGCCCGCCCACUCAAAGCUCAUACAAGUGUUCGUCCUUGUUUGGAAUGGGCUUGAAGCCCUGCGGGUAUAAGUGGAACUCGCCGUCUUCCGGAAUGACAUGAUCGUUGAUAAAUCCGGCGAUCGUCUCCUGGACUCCAAGGAGUAAUGUGUACUCGAACACUUUAUCUUUCAUAUUCCACUCCUUCCAUUUGCAUUAGUUAGAAAAGAUAUUAAUAUACAUAAAAUCUAUUUAGUUUCAACAAAUAAAUAAGAUAUGAAUUUACUGUAUACACAUGCAUGUUACUUACUUUUAGAACACUUUGAGCAGGUUUAAAUAGGGUGCACCGCAUAAAUUCACAAACAUAGUAUCCAUAUAGAUUCGUUCCAAACGGCUGCGUGGGCACCCAAGGGAGUAGAACAGGAGGAGGAAGUGACACAUUCAGAUCCGUACGAUAUUUUAGUUGUAGCCAAGCCCAAGCCCUGCCCAAUAAGACGCUCGUUGAUUAGGUAUAGCUAGCAUAAUAAAGUAAAGGAGCACGCAUCGAUAUUUAAAGUAUGAUAUAUAUACUUACCUCUGGAUCAUGUCUAUUAUGUCUUGAUAGAGUGCCAGGUCUUUUUUCAUUGAGUCCCACACAUGUAUUCUUUGUUCCGUGAUCUUAAUCUCAAUGAGUAUCCAAUGAUCUCUGCAUUUGUUUAGAGUCAACUUAUAUAUGUAUAUCUUAAUGCCAGAUUAACUAAGACAUGAUAUAACACAACACUUACCCCCAUAUUGUAAGGGAAGAGUAUCUUCUCCGUAUGCCUUUGGUUAUAAAAGAACCUCCGGAGGUUCUUCUCCAUUUCCUUAGGCUUCAGAUUCAAUGGAUCUUUAGUUUUAGUGUCCUUGUACACGACAUAUGGAUCGAUGAAACCAAUUCGAUUGUCUUUUUUCAAUCUUUGUUCUCUCAUCAUGUGUCUGCACAUCGUGAGCGUAGUUAUUACGAAUACAUACAUAUGCUAAUUAAUGGGAUUAAUGAUUGAAAGGAAGAAUCACUUACAGACAGUAGCAGCUCAGGAGAGAUUUGUCAAGAGCAUUCAUAUGGAGAAGUUGGUGUACUUCACUAAAAUCUAUCCAUAUGACGUCAUCUCCACGGAAGUAGUGUCGGUCGCGGACUCGGACGGCA
rnacentral:lncRNA from 1 species